rnacentral:misc_RNA from 1 species
GGGGUUUUUAAUUCACUCUCUAAUCUAGCCAACUCUUUCUGCAAAUGCUUCACCAAUGCCUUGUCAGACAUCACAACAUUGACUUGUGCAUUAGUGGUCACUUCUUUGGCACAACAGGCAAAUAGAAGUGUAUUUCUAGAUUGUUCUACAUGGCUUCGAGCAGGACUCAGGGUGCAGAUUAUGCCAGUUCUUGCAUUGCCCCCCAAAGCAGGUUGAAGGA